rnacentral:lncRNA from 1 species
UGCCCUUUAACACAUGUUGAUACAUACUAAUAAAGAUAAUUGGCUAGUUUCGGAAAAAAGACAUACAUAAAUUUUAUACAUUCCCUGUGUGAACUAUGUGCUUUCGAUUGUGUAUACAAUCUAUCAGAUAUUUUAUUUAUCAAAACAUCAUGUAUUCGAUUAAGUUGUGUAAUGGAAUGUGAAAGUUCGAAACAAAAAGAUUCUUCAGCUUUGUGUGUGCAUGAUGAUGAUUACCGUUAUCUUGAUGAUAUUUUUUCGUAAAAUAAUCAAGAAUUUUCUCAAUAUACUGCUGAAAUUUACCCAAAGGAACUUACUUUAAAUAAAUCAAAUUUAUACGGUAAUAACUGUCCUUUCCUGGAUUUAGAUAUUUCGGUUUUAAACGGGAAACUCCACACUAAAAUUUAC